rnacentral:rRNA from 1 species
GAUGAACGCUGGCGGCGUGCCUAACACAUGCAAGUCGAGCGAAAACACGAGGAGCUUGCUCUCUUGACGUUAGCGGCGGACGGGUGAGUAACACGUGGAUAACCUACCUAUAUGACUGGGAUAACUUCGGGAAACCGGAGCCAAUACCGGCUAAUAUAUUCAACCGCAUGGAUCAAGAGUGAAAGACGGCUUUGCCGUCACUUAUAGACGGAUCCGGGUCGGAUUAGCUAGUUGGUAAGGUAACGGCUUACCAAGGCGACGAUGCGUAGCCGACCUGAGAGGGUGAUCAGCCACACUGGAACUGAGACACGGUCCAGACUCCUACGGGAGGCAGCAGUAGGGAAUCUUGCGCAAUGGGCGAAAGCCUGACGGAGCAACGCCGCGUGAGUGAAGAAGGUCUUCGGGUCGUAAAGCUCUGUUAUUGGGGAAGAACAGAUGUAUGUUUAUCUAUGCACGUCUUGACGGUACCUAAUCAAAAAGCAACGGCUAACUUCGUG